rnacentral:rRNA from 1 species
GAUGAACGCUGGCGGCGUGCCUAAUACAUGCAAGUCGAGCGAACAGACGAGGAGCUUGCUCCUCUGACGUUAGCGGCGGACGGGUGAGUAACACGUGGAUAACCUACCUAUAAGACUGGGAUAACUUCGGGAAACCGGAGCUAAUACCGCCUAAUAUAUUGAACCGCAUGGUUCAAUAGUGAAAGACGGCUUUGCUGUCACUUAUAGAUGGAUCCGCGCCGCAUUAGCUAGUUGGUAAGGUAACGGCUUACCAAGGCAACGAUGCGUAGCCGACCUGAGAGGGUGAUCGGCCACACUGGAACUGAGACACGGUCCAGACUCCUACGGGAGGCAGCAGUAGGGAAUCUUCCGCAAUGGGCGAAAGCUUGACGGAGCAACGCCGCGUGAGUGAUGAAGGUCUUCGGAUCGUAAAACUCUGUUAUUAGGGAAGAACAAAUGUGUAAGUAACUAUGCACGUCUUGACGGUACCUAAUCAGAAAGCCACGGCUAACUACGUG